AGUGGGAUUGCUGAAUCACAUGGUAAUUUUAUAUUUAAUUUUAUGAGAAACUGCCAAACUAUUUUCCAAAGUGACUAUACCAUUUUGUAUUCCCAUCAGCAAU
rnacentral:pre_miRNA from 1 species